UACGUAGGGCGCAAGCGUUGUCCGGAAUUAUUGGGCGUAAAGAGCUCGUAGGCGGUUUGUCGCGUCUGCCGUGAAAGUCCGGGGCUCAACUCCGGAUCUGCGGUGGGUACGGGCAGACUAGAGUGCUGUAGGGGAGACUGGAAUUCCUGGUGUAGCGGUGAAAUGCGCAGAUAUCAGGAGGAACACCGAUGGCGAAGGCAGGUCUCUGGGCCUGUCCUGACGCUGAGACGCGAAAGCGUGGGGAGCGAACCGG
rnacentral:rRNA from 1 species